rnacentral:rRNA from 1 species
AGAGAUUGAACAUAAGAGUUUGAUCCUGGCUCAGAUUGAACGCUGGCGGCAUGCUUUACACAUGCAAGUCGGACGGCAGCACAGGGAAGCUUGCUUCUCGGGUGGCGAGUGGCGAACGGGUGAGUAACAUAUCGGAACGUACCGGGUAGCGGGGGAUAACUGAUCGAAAGAUCAGCUAAUACCGCAUACGUCUUGAGAGGGAAAGCAGGGGACCUUCGGGCCUUGCGCUAUCCGAGCGGCCGAUAUCUGAUUAGCUGGUU